ensembl:lncRNA
AAUCUGAGGGGAGAUUUGGGGCAUGUUCCUGUGAUGCUGCCAUCCUGGUAAUUCCAUUUCUUAAUCUGAGGGGAGAUUUGGGGCAUGUUCCUGUGAUGCUGCCAUCCUGGUAAUUCCAUUUCUUAAUCUGAGGGGAGAUUUGGGGCAUGUUCCUGUGAUGCUGCCAUCCUGGUAAUUCCAUUUCUUAAUCUGAGGCUGAGGGGAGAUUUGGGGCAUGUUCCUGUGAUGCUGCCACUUUGGUCUCUCCACAUCAAAUGACUGCUGUGCAGACACACACACACACACACACACACACACACACACACACACACACACACACACACACACACACACACACACACACUAUUAUAUACAUCACAACAAGUCAUUAUGGUCUUCAUCACAACAAGUCAUUAUGGUCUUCAUCACAACAAGUCAUUAUGGUCUUCAUCACAACAAGUCAUUAUGGUCUUCAUCACAACAAGUCAUUAUGGUCUUUAUCACAACAAGUCAUUAUGGUCUUCAUCACAACAAGUCAUUAUGGUCUUCAUCACAACAAGUCAUUAUGGUCUUCAUCACAACAAGUCAUUAUGGUCUUCAUCACAACAAGUCAUUAUGGUCUACAUCACAACAAGUCAUUAUGGUCUUCAUCACAACAAGUCAUUAUGGUCUUCAUCACAACAAGUCAUUAUGGUCUUCCUGUGUUCUUCAUCACAACAAGUCAUUAUGGUCUUCAUCACAACAAGUCAUUAUGGUCUUCAUCACAUCAAGUCAUUAUGGUCUUCAUCACAACAAGUCAUUAUGGUCUUCAUCACAACAAGUCAUUAUGGUCUUCAUCACAACAAGUCAUUAUGGUCUUCAUCACAUCAAGUCAUUAUGGUCUUCAUCACAACAAGUCAUUAUGGUCUUCAUCACAACAAGUCAUUAUGGUCUUCAUCACAACAAGUCAUUAUGGUCUUCAUCACAACAAGUCAUUAUGGUCUUCAUCACAACAAGUCAUUAUGGUCUUCAUCACAACAAGUCAUUAUGGUCUUCAUCACAACAAGUCAUUAUGGUCUUUAUCACAACAAGUCAUUAUGGUCUUCAUCACAACAAGUCAUUAUGGUCUUCAUCACAACAAGUCAUUAUGGUCUUCAUCACAACAAGUCAUUAUGGUCUUCCUCACAACAAGUCAUUAUGGUCUUCAUCACAACAAGUCAUUAUGGUCUUCAUCACAACAAGUCAUUAUGGUCUACAUCACAAGUCAUUAUGGUCUUCAUCACAACAAGUCAUUAUGGUCUUCAUCACAACAAGUCAUUAUGGUCUUCCUGUGUUCUUCAUCACAACAAGUCAUUAUGGUCUUCAUCACAACAAGUCAUUAUGGUCUUCAUCACAUCAAGUCAUUAUGGUCUUCAUCACAACAAGUCAUUAUGGUCUUCAUCACAACAAGUCAUUAUGGUCUACAUCACAACAAGUCAUUAUGGUCUUCAUCACAACAAGUCACUAUGGUCUUCAUCACAACAAGUCAUUAUGGUCUUCAAGUGUUCUUCAUCACAACAAGUCAUUAUGGUCUUCAUCACAACAAGUCAUUAUGGUCUUCAUCACAUCAAGUCAUUAUGGUCUUCAUCACAACAAGUCAUUAUGGUCUUCAUCACAACAAGUCAUUAUGGUCUUCAUCACAACAAGUCAUUAUGGUCUUCAUCACAACAAGUCAUUAUGGUCUUCAUCACAACAAGUCAUUAUGGUCUUCAUCACAACAAGUCAUUAUGGUCUUCAUCACAACAAGUCAUUAUGGUCUUUAUCACAACAAGUCAUUAUGGUCUUCAUCACAACAAGUCAUUAUGGUCUUCAUCACAACAAGUCAUUAUGGUCUUCAUCACAACAAGUCAUUAUGGUCUUCCUCACAACAAGUCAUUAUGGUCUUCAUCACAACAAGUCAUUAUGGUCUUCAUCACAACAAGUCAUUAUGGUCUACAUCACAAGUCAUUAUGGUCUUCAUCACAACAAGUCAUUAUGGUCUUCAUCACAACAAGUCAUUAUGGUCUUCCUGUGUUCUUCAUCACAACAAGUCAUUAUGGUCUUCAUCACAACAAGUCAUUAUGGUCUUCAUCACAUCAAGUCAUUAUGGUCUUCAUCACAACAAGUCAUUAUGGUCUUCAUCACAACAAGUCAUUAUGGUCUACAUCACAACAAGUCAUUAUGGUCUUCAUCACAACAAGUCACUAUGGUCUUCAUCACAACAAGUCAUUAUGGUCUUCAAGUGUUCUUCAUCACAACAAGUCAUUAUGGUCUACAUCACAACAAGUCAUUAUGGUCUACAUCACAACAAGUCAUUAUGGUCUUCAUGUGUUCUCCAUCACAACAAGUCAUUAUGGUCUUCAUCACAACAAGUCAUUAUGGUCUUCAUCACAACAAGUCAUUAUGGUCUUCCUCACAACAAGUCAUUAUGGUCUUCAUCACAACAAGUCAUUAUGGUCUUCAUCACAACAAGUCAUUAUGGUCUUCAUCACAACAAGUCAUUAUGGUCUUCAUCACAACAAGUCAUUAUGGUCUACAUCACAACAAGUCAUUAUGGUCUUCAUGUGUUCUCCAUCACAACAAGUCAUUAUGGUCUUCCUGUGUUCUCCAUCACAACAAGUCAUUAUGGUCUUCCUGUGUUCUCCAUCACAACAAGUCAUUAUGGUCUUCAUCACAACAAGUCAUUAUGGUCUUCAUCACAACAAGUCAUUAUGGUCUUCAUCACAACAAGUCAUUAUGGUCUUCAUCACAACAAGUCAUUAUGGUCUUCCUGUGUUCUCCAUCACAACAUGACUAUUCUGUAAGGUGUGUGAUAUAUUCUACAGUCUGUCACCUGUGGGGGUCAAAGGAGGCUUGUGACGACUCAUAAUGAAUGAUUAUGAAAAGGUCAUUUUAAUUACCAGACACUCAGCAACAACCCCAGGACACUGACCCUUCAUUAACCACACAGGGG